rnacentral:rRNA from 1 species
UAAUAUCGGAUAACGCAUAUGUGCUGGAAUGCUUUAUGCGUAAAACGGAUUCGUCCGCCCAAGGAUGGGUCUGCGGCCUAUCAGGUAGUAGUGGGUGUAAUGUACCUACUAGCCAACAACGGGUACGGGUUGUGAGAGCAAGAGCCCGGAGAUGGAUUCUGAGACAUGAAUCCAGGCCCUACGGGGCGCAGCAGGCGCGAAAACUGUACAAUGCGGGAAACCGUGAUAAGGGAACACCGAGUGCCAGCAUCAUAUGCUGGCUGUCCAGAUGUGUAAACUACAUCUGUUAGCAAGGGCCGGGCAAGACCGGUGCCAGCCGCCGCGGUAACACCGGCGGCCCGAGUGGUGACCGUUAUUAUUGGGUCUAAAGGGUCCGUAGCCGGUUUGGUCAGUCCUCCGGGAAAUCUGAUAGCUUAACUGUUAGGCUUUCGGGGGAUACUGCCAGGCUUGGAACCGGGAGAGGUAAGAGGUACUACAGGGGUAGGAGUGAAAUCUUGUAAUCCCUGUGAGACCACCUGUGGCGAAGGCGUCUUACCAGAACGGGUUCGACGGUGAGGGACGAAAGCUGGGGGCACGAACCGGAUUAGAUACCCGGGUAGUCCCAGCCGUAAACUAUGCUCGCUAGGUGU